rnacentral:lncRNA from 1 species
AAGCACAUGUCUUCCAUCCAAUCAAAAGUGGUGAAAUAAAUAAUAUUUUUGUAAUUUUUUGGUGUCAUUAUAAAAUAUACAUUCUCAUGAACACAUGGCAAAAAGAAUGGGUCAAAAAUGUUAAUGGAUAAUGAAGUAAUGGAUAUUUGAAGUUAUGAAGAAAAAUGAACAUUUAAGAAGUGAGGAAAAAUAAACAUUACAUUGGCCAGGUUCGAACCCACGUCC